UACGUAGGGUGCAAGCGUUGUCCGGAAUUAUUGGGCGUAAAGAGCUCGUAGGUGGCCUGUCGCGUCGGCUGUGAAAACUCGGGGCUCAACUCCGAGCUUGCAGUCGAUACGGGCAGGCUAGAGUUCGGCAGGGGAGACUGGAAUUCCUGGUGUAGCGGUGAAAUGCGCAGAUAUCAGGAGGAACACCGGUGGCGAAGGCGGGUCUCUGGGCCGAUACUGACACUGAGAAGCGAAAGCGUGGGGAGCGAACAGG
rnacentral:rRNA from 1 species